GAAAUAUCAACAUGGAUGAAGGUCUUAAAUAUAUUCUUUGAAGCUCAUCUUUUUCGAGGACAUAUGAAAUAGAGUUAGCUUUCUAAUGGAGGUAGUUUCAAGUAAUUUGGAGCUGUAUUGAAGAAGUUAUAACCGAUUUACUGGAAUCAUAUCAAUCAUACUGCAAAGAUAGGAUGGACCGCGGUGGAGGCCACGGAUUGAAGCCGUCCGCGGAUUUGGGCCAGUGAGGUCGAUUAAAG
rnacentral:lncRNA from 1 species